rnacentral:hammerhead_ribozyme from 1 species
AUCCAGCUGACAAGUCUCAAAUAAGACGGAACGAGCGUCCUGGAU